AGUGAACGCUGGCGGUAGGCCUAACACAUGCAAGUCGAACGGCAGCACAGUAAGAGCUUGCUCUUACGGGUGGCGAGUGGCGGACGGGUGAGGAAUACAUCGGAAUCUACUUUUUCGUGGGGGAUAACGUAGGGAAACUUACGCUAAUACCGCAUACGACCUACGGGUGAAAGCAGGGGAUCUUCGGACCUUGCGCGAUUGAAUGAGCCGAUGUCGGAUUAGCUAGUUGGCGGGGUAAAGGCCCACCAAGGCGACGAUCCGUAGCUGGUCUGAGGGGAUGAUCAGCCACACUGGAACUGAGACACGGUCCAGACUCCUACGGGAGGCAGCAGUGGGGAAUAUUGGACAAUGGGCGCAAGCCUGAUCCAGCCAUACCGCGUGGGUGAAGAAGGCCUUCGGGUUGUAAAGCCCUUUUGUUGGGAAAGGAAAGCAGCAGGUUAAUACCCCGCUGUUCUGACGGUACCCAAAGAAUAAGCACCGGCUAACUUCGUG
rnacentral:rRNA from 1 species